rnacentral:tRNA from 1 species
CGAAGUAUAGCUUAACAAAAGCACCUCGCUUACACCGAGAAAAUAUUUGUGAAACUCAAAUUACCUCGA